AUGCAAGAUCAGGUUGCCCUGGACCUGGACGGCUUCCCGCUCGACCAUGUGUUCCCGGAGGACUACGACCUCGAGGAAGAGGAUGAGUUGGACAUUGACGGGGAGCCUUUAUUCGAGGACGAGCUCGCCAACCCAGCCGCCGGGGCAAAGCCGAAGCGCAAGAGAAAGCGGACGAAGGCAUGCAUGACAUUUGAGGACACGAUCCUGUGUGAGUGUUGGAGGGACAUUGGGCAAGACCCCAAGGUCAGCACCGAACAAAAGGCAUCGACCUUUUGGAUUUUUGUCCCUCGUGAGUUCCAUGAGCGUAAGAAGUUUGCGCCGUACCAAAUGCAUAGCACGCACGGCUGGGUGUCCAUUUCUAAGCGAUGGAAGGUGAUACAACAAUAG
rnacentral:rRNA from 1 species